rnacentral:rRNA from 1 species
GAUGAACGCUGGCGGCGUGCCUAAUACAUGCAAGUAGAACGCUGAAGGAGGAGCUUGCUCUUCUGGAUGAGUUGCGAACGGGUGAGUAACGCGUAGGUAACCUGCCUGGUAGCGGGGGAUAACUAUUGGAAACGAUAGCUAAUACCGCAUGACAACAGUUAUUGCAUGAUAACUGUUUAAAAGGGGCAACUGCUCCACUACCAGAUGGACCUGCGUUGUAUUAGCUAGUUGGUGAGGUAACGGCUCACCAAGGCGACGAUACAUAGCCGACCUGAGAGGGUGAUCGGCCACACUGGGACGGAGACACGGCCCAGACGCCUACGGGAGGCAGCAGUAGGGAAUCUUCGGCAAUGGACGGAAGUCUGACCGAGCAACGCCGCGUGAGUGAAGAAGGGUUUCGGAUCGUAAAGCUCUGUUGUAAGAGAAGAACGAGUGUGAGAGUGGAAAGUUCACACUGUGACGGUAUCUUACCAGAAAGGGACGGCUAACUACGUG